UCUUCCCCUUCGACUUCAUUUCACGCGAAACCCUUCCAUGUUAUUUCGUUCGCAGUCGCUCUCUCCUCUCAUCUCGCGAUACUGCCUCCCGAUCCUCCCAUCGUCGCUUCGGCCUCCGUCUCAGGGGGACAAUAAGAUAUGCAAGCGUUCAUGCCCACUUAGAUCACACAGGAAGUAAGAGUGAUGAUCUAGAGUCAUUGACCUACACAUUGAUAUUCCUCAUCAGUGAAAGGUUACCCUAACGAGGUUAUCAUGGAGACAACAAGAGUUUUCUUGUUUGUAAGAAGAAGAUGGCAACCUCUCCUAAGCUGUUAGUUGUGUACACGAGAUGGGUCUAUCUGCUGAGAAUAUAAUAGAAACAAGAUUGUUCACACUAGCAAGUAAGACUCUCCUAUAGCAAUUUGAACAAAAAGAAACACUCCCUCAUAGCAGUUUGAUGGAGUCUGUUAA